GGGUCCCUAGGGAAAGCCCAAGAUGAACACAGUCAAGUUCUAUGUAAAAUUGUGAAGUAGGAAGUGCCACAUGGCCUAUGCCACACAGGACUUGUGUGAAAGAGCUGAGGCAGAGCCCGUGCUUUCUGCAUCUUCAUACUUCAUGGCAGACGUAAUAGACUGAUGGAGAUGACUGAACAACUGUAUGGGUGAUGACAAAUGUGCUCAUUAGGUGCAACAGCUCAUUAAUUCAAGAAUCUCAAAUUUUGAAAAAUAACAGCAAUCCAUGAUAUAGGAAAGGGAUGUAUAGUGCGUUAGUCACUUUUAAGAAUCCCAUAUUUGGACACAGACCAACUGAUAAUUUGACCAAGAGUACCAGAGUAAGUAACAAAAUGGGGAGAGCUGCAAACACAAUGCAGACUGCUUAACUUGCAUUUACAUGUUUGUAUGUGCUCAUCUCACGCUUUUGUAAUCCAUUUGGAUGAGUGGCUCACUCUUCAAAGAUUAACAUUUUAUGACCAAAUUACUGAGAAAUAUCCAUCUCUGGGUUAAGACAGUGAGUG